GAUGAAGAACGUAGCGAAAUGCGAUAAGUAGUGUGAAUUGCAGAAUUCAGUGAAUCAUCGAAUCUUUGAACGCACAUUGCGCCCUUUGGUAUUCCUUAGGGCAUGCCUGUUCGAGCGUCAUUUAAACCUUCAAGCUCAGCUUGGUGAUGGGCGACUGUCCCCCCCCCUCGCGGGGGGGACUCGCCUCAAAAACAUUGGCGGCCGGUACAUUGGCUUCGAGCGCAGCAGAAACGCGGUCUCGAGCCCGGUGGAUCGGCUCCCAUAAGCCUAUUCUUUUAUUUUGACCUCGGAUCAGGUAGGGAUACCCGCUGAACUUAAGCAUAUCAUAAGCGGAGGA
rnacentral:misc_RNA from 1 species